UUUAAGUGUUAAUUGAAUUUACCUGGGUAGUAUUAGUUAAGGUCUUUAAACCCAAAGAAUUUGGCGGUAUUUUAUUCCAUUCAGAGGAACCUAUCUCGUAAUUGAUAGUACACGAUUUACUUUACUUGAUUUAUUUGUUUGUAUAUCUCCGUUAUCAGAAAAUCUUUUUGGAGUUAUAAUUUUCCUGUUUUUUUAUUAAAAAUUAUUUCAGGUCAAGGUGCAGCUUAUAAUUAAGUGUAUGAUGGGUUACAAUAAAUUUUUUUAUUAUGGAUUUAAUUUUGUAAUAUUUUAAUGAAGGUGGAUUUGAUGGUAAUUUAAUUUAUUUAAUUUAAUUGAUAAUGGCUCUAAAAUGUGU
rnacentral:rRNA from 1 species